AGGAAGAACAGCAAUAACUGAAAAGUUCUGCCACAUGUUACCUCAGGAAAAUUGGAAUUUUUCUGUAUUACUUCUUACAGUUACAUGUGAGUCUGGGGCUCCCCAGAUAGUGCUAGCAGUAAAGAACCUACCUGCCAAUUCAGAAGAUGCAAAAGACGUGGGCUCAAUCCCUGGGUCAGGAAGACCCCCUGGAGAAGAACAUGGCAAGCCACUCCAGUAUUCUUUCCUGGAGAAUACUAUGGACAGAGGAGCCUUGUGGGCUACAAGUCCAUAGAGUUACAAAGAGUCAGACACAACUGAAGCUACUUAGCAUGCACGCAGAUAUGCAAUUGGAACUGUGCUGGGUACAGAGAGUGGG
ensembl:lncRNA